rnacentral:rRNA from 1 species
GACGAACGCUGGCGGCGUGCUUAACACAUGCAAGUCGAACGGAAAGGCCCUGCUUUUGUGGGGUGCUCGAGUGGCGAACGGGUGAGUAACACGUGAGUAACCUGCCCUUGACUUUGGGAUAACUUCAGGAAACUGGGGCUAAUACCGGAUAGGAGCUCCUGCUGCAUGGUGGGGGUUGGAAAGUUUCGGCGGUUGGGGAUGGACUCGCGGCUUAUCAGCUUGUUGGUGGGGUAGUGGCUUACCAAGGCUUUGACGGGUAGCCGGCCUGAGAGGGUGACCAGCCACAUUGGGACUGAGAUACGGCCCAGACUCCUACGGGAGGCAGCAGUGGGGAAUAUUGCACAAUGGGCGGAAGCCUGAUGCAGCAACGCCGCGUGCGGGAUGACGGCCUUCGGGUUGUAAACCGCUUUCGCCUGUAACGAAGCGUGAGUGACGGUAAUGGGUAAAGAAGCACCGGCUAACUACGUG